AGACUAUAGUUUAUUCGUGAUUUGUUUUUUCCAAAAAUGAGGACUAGAGAGAAAAAUGGUGCUCCAAAGCUUAUCAUACAUUUAUCAUUAAGUCCUAGUCUCAUUAAUUGUUUUCAAGCUUUUCGCCUACAUUUUAGACUAACCCUACUUAUUCCUGUGAAUCAAGCAGUGAUCUCCUGCAGCUUGGAAGAAAAAAUAAGGGAUGGGUAACAGAAAAUCUGCAUCAAUAUACUAGUUCUGGGCAAUUAUUCUGCAAAUUCUGCCAGGUAAUAAAAGUGAGUAGGGUGCCCAUAACCCAGAGGUUUCUUUGUUUAGGAAAAUAAAACCAAGGAACUUCAUAGACCCCCAAAGGGGAAUUCUAUAUCUUGACAGGUAAAAGUUUAGAUGGAAAUUAUCUACCACACCACACUUAUGGAAACUGCCCUACUCACUCUAUUAUUUGCAAUCGGAUUAUACAUGGUAGCACCUUCUAACUGAAAUAUUAAACAGAGAGUUUCCAUCGCUGUCAUAUUUUGCUUAAUCAUUAUCCUUAUAGCAGGGAUAGUAGUUACUAAUGAAAAGGAAGCAUGAAAGUUUUACUAUCACUGAAUCUGCUAGGACUUUUUAUUGGGUUUAGUGAAACAUGAAACAUGCUGCUUUUGGAUUAGCACUUCUAGUAAAGUAAAGGAAAAUCUACGAAUACUUAAAAAACAAAUCAAAAUUAUUGACAGGCUCAGGGAAAAUGCCAGCUUCAUCCCCGAGUGGCUACAAUCCCUCUUUAAUAAAUUGCAGUCUUCUUUAUGGAAUUAGUUAACCCCUUUAUUAAGCCCUCUCUUGCUUGUGUGUCUUGUAUUGAUAUUUGGACCCUGUAUACACAAUACUAUAACUCAAAUUGUUUCUUCUCAUCUAGAAACAAUCAAACUCCAAAUGGUGCUGUAAACAGAGCCAUACUUGGACACGCCAUUCUUUUGAGGACCCUUAGAUUGACCCCAGGAGUAGCCCUAGCUGCUGUUCCCCAUUCGAUGCCCCUUUUCAACAAGAAGUAGCCAGAAGGAGUCGUCGCCCAAAACCCCCUAACAGCAGUUAGUGUAGCAUCUCCACAGGGGGGAAUGUUGUAGGAGUUAUUAAGAAAUUAUUUUAGGCAGAUAGAGAGGAAAAGGGGUCCUUGGGUCCUUGGGAAGUUUUCUUUUUUUUUUUUUUUUUUUUUUGAGACGGAGUUUCGCUCUUGUUGCCCAGGGUGGAGUGUAAUGGCGUGAUCGCUCACCGCAACCUCCACCUCCCAGGUUCAAGCGAUUCUCCUGCCUCAGCCUCCCAAGUAGCUGGGAUUACAGACAUGUGCCACCACGCCCAGCUAAUUUUGUAUUUUUAGUAGAAACGGGGGUUCUCCAUGUUUUCUUUUUUUUUUUUUUUUUUUUUGAGACGGAGUCUCGCUCUGUCGCCCAGGCUGGAAGUGGGAGGGCCAACUUUUUCUGAGGGCUACGUGAAUGCCAUGCAUAGUCAAACCAAUCCCCUGAGCCCUAUGCAAAUCAGACACCUCCUCCUCCAGCCUCUGUGUGUAUACCUAGAUGGUAUCUGUGGCAGCUGGGGUUCCUUCUCUCAGCUUUGGGGCCCCCCUCCCUCUGUCUCUGUACAGGGGAGCUUCUUCCUUCUCCCUUCCUUCUUGCCCCUUCUGGCCUAUUAAACUCUCCAAAUAAAACAAAAAAAAGACUAAGGGUCAC
ensembl:lncRNA